UGAACCCUAACAUAACAUGCUGCUUUCAUAUGUCUCGUCAUGAACAGGGAGCAUCUCGCCGUUAGCAUUGGCGAGAUUGCCCUAGGUGUAUGUCGCCAUUAUUGCUGGCGGCAUCAGUGCCUACUCAGCAUGUAUUUCGCCAAGAAGAAUGGUGGCAUGAGUCCUACGUGGAGCACAAGGGGAAUCGCUUCUCCUACUGGCAGCAUCCCUGAACUCGCUAAUGCAUCUGGCGGCAUCAAAUUAGAAACAGACCCCCCCUGCAAUUUCUUUCAAAAGGGACCAUGAUGCGUAAAUUGUUUAUAAAUGUGUCCCUCUACAGUAAAUUUGCCCACUAAAUGAUCUUUCAAGUCAUGCACUUCCCUUGCAUAAAAACACAUUAAACAAGGGCAUAUCACUUUACUUGGGUCUUCUGCAUGAUCAACAACAAACCUAAUGAACUCAUCCACUCCAUCUUCAUAUUCUUUUGAUAAGUGGUUGACAACCAUCCAUAUUUGAUCCAUAUUU
rnacentral:lncRNA from 1 species